AUAAAACAUUGUGAUUUAAGUUAAUUACUUGCUAUUUACAAUUGAAACAAGAAAUCAUAAAUAAAUGUGAUAUAUCUAUUACUAUAGUAAUACUAUUUAUAUAUAUAUAUAUUAAUUAGGUAAGAUUUUCUAAGAGAAGAAACGUAUAAUAAAAAAUAAUAAAAAUAAUUUUGUGUUGCACGAUCAUUACUUAUUACAGUUAAACCAUACUAGUAAGUUAUUUGUAUUAUUUUUAAAACGUUAUAUUAUGUAUCUUAUUAUUAUCGUUUAAUAUUUUGUCAAUCUUAAAUAAAAAUUGUUUAAGAUUGACAAAAUAUGAGUUGUCAAAUUGAUAUUCAAAAAUUUGCGCGCUUUCUUAAGCCUGGUAGCGCUUGAUCGUACAGUGGGGAAUCCCGGCGUAUCAACAUUAUUAUCAGUUGACUGUUAUCAUAAAUUCAAUUUUCACAUUUUCGUUUUUCAAACAUUUGAAUAGUUUUCAAUUUUCAUUUAAUCAGUGAAAAUCUUUUUUAUUUUACUAAUUGUAAUCGUUUUUGUUAAAAAAUCCUAUUAUUCAACUAUUAUCGAGAACUGCAAAAGCAUGACUUCCGUUGCGAAAACACUUUGGCCUUUGAAUACGCCAGGAGGGUAUCAUCAAAUAUCAGCCAUCGGUUGUAAGCUAUAUUUUGUUGCCCAAAUUUUACUAGUACAAUUAUUACGAAACUGUGUUAAAAUUUAAAAAAAUUGUUUUUAGUCGGCACUUACACAAUCAGCGAGAGGGCUAACGUUUUAUUAUGUAUCUUAUUAUUAUCGUGUAAUAUUUUUUAUAAACUAAAAUAUUUAUUUUAUUUAAAAAAAAUAUAAUAUUAUUGAACAACUUUAAUUCAAACGUUUAUUUUAAACAGUUACAAUUAUAUUUGAUUAAAUUAUAAAAUUAUAAUUCUUUGGUUGAAUUAAAAACUAUUUAUAUACGA